rnacentral:rRNA from 1 species
CCUACGGGAGGCAGCAGUAAGGAAUAUUGGUCAAUGGACGCAAGUCUGAACCAGCCAUGCCGCGUGAAGGAUGAAUGCCCUCUGGGUUGUAAACUUCUUUUAUAGGGGACGAAAAAGGGUCUUUUAGAUCAACUGACGGUACCCUAGGAAUAAGCACCGGCUAACUCCGUGCCAGCAGCCGCGGUAAUACGGAGGGUGCAAGCGUUAUCCGGAUUUACUGGGUUUAAAGGGUGCGUAGGUGGGUUGGUAAGUCAGCGGUGAAAUCUUCGAGCUUAACUCGGAAACUGCCAUUGAUACUAUCAGCCUUGAAUAUCCUGGAGGUGAGCGGAAUAUGUCAUGUAGCGGUGAAAUGCUUAGAUAUGACAUAGAACACCAAUUGCGAAGGCAGCUCACUACGGGAUUAUUGACACUGAGGCACGAAAGCGUGGGGAUCAAACAGGAUUAGAUACCCUGGUAGUCCACGCCCUAAACGAUGGAUACUCGACAUUUGCGAUAUACAGUAAGUGUCUGAGNGAAGANAUAUAUCCACCNGGAGAGANGCAGAUAGAAGUAAAGUAGUAGUAGAGNGNGAGAGAGACGACGACGACGACGGAGGGAGGAGG